rnacentral:rRNA from 1 species
AUUGAACGCUGGCGGCAUGCCUUACACAUGCAAGUCGAACGGUAGAGGGGGCAACCCCUUGAGAGUGGCGAACGGGUGAGUAAUGCAUCGGAACGUGCCCAGUAGUGGGGGAUAGCCCGGCGAAAGCCGGAUUAAUACCGCAUACGACCUAUGGGUGAAAGCGGGGGACCUUCGGGCCUCGCGCUAUUGGAGCGGCCGAUGUCAGAUUAGCUAGUUGGUGGGGUAAAGGCCCACCAAGGCGACGAUCUGUAGCUGGUCUGAGAGGACGACCAGCCACACUGGGACUGAGACGCGGCCCAGACUCCUACGGGAGGCAGCAGUGGGGAAUUUUGGACAAUGGACGAAAGUCUGAUCCAGCCAUGCCGCGUGCGGGAAGAAGGCCUUCGGGUUGUAAACCGCUUUUGUCAGGGAAGAAAUCUUCUGGGCGAAUACCCUGGGAGGAUGACGGUACCGUAAGAAUAAGCACCGGCUAACUACGUGCCAGCCGCCGCGGUAACAC